UAAAUUUUAACUGACUGUAUAUGAGUGAAUAUUGAAAAAAGAAAGUAGAUAAGAGUUUGCAAUAAUAAAAAUUAAUAUUAUGAAAAGGCAAAAAAAAGUUAAAAAAAGAAUUAAAAAAUAUAUUUAUUCCAAAAAGAAGAUUGAGGAGAGAGAAUUUUUUAGUUUUUUUUUUAAAAAAUAAUUAUGUAAAUAAUUUACACGUAAUUUAUUGUUAUUAUUAUUAGUUGUCUAUUUAAUUUGAAUUUUGUUCUUAUUUAAAUUUAAAAUCGACUGAAGAGAAGAGAAUAAAUGGGCUGAGUUAAGAUACGAGUUUGGGGUGUUGGGCCGAAAAUUUAAAUGUUAGUAAUCUUGGGCCGCUGAGAGUGCAGAACUUAUGACCUGUUGGGUGAACACUUGGGCUAAAGUAAAAGGAAGGGUAGGACACUAGGGUUUGAGAGACGCCUCUCGGCGGCCUUCUCCCUUCCCCUCUCUUUCGCUGGCCACCGAGGGUUUCAUUUGGAGAAGGCGAAUUGACGGUGCAUAUUGACGGGUGAAAAGCGGGCGGGUGGGAAAUGAGGCAGACGCUUGUUGGGGGAACAGAAGGGGCGGAGGCGGAGGAUAUGGGAGGAGGACGCAGGUUGCUGAUGGAUUUGGGGCGUCCAUGGUUGAGCCGUGGGUGUUUUUUGAAGAUUGAAGGAACAAACCAGAGAUCUGAUCGGAGGAAGCAAGCCGGAUCGAUUAACAGGACGAUAAAUCCACUACUCCUGUCCGGACGAGCAAUUGAGUUGUCUUCACCCUCCAAAGAGCAUCUGUAUCAACCCACAUUUGUACUCUAUUUUACCUUGUCUUCAUAUUUAUCCUUUUGUAUUUCUCUCAAUUAAGCAAGCCAUCUUAGUUAAUUGGUACUACGACUUAUAAUUAUUUCCUGACUUAUCAAGUCAACCUGUUCUCUUUGUGGCUUUUUUUUAUUCUCCCCAUUCAUGGUAUUGUUUCUAUUACCAUUUCAAGGUGUGUUUCUUUCCCAGGAGUGGGCAUAUGCGAGAGCUGUCCACAGUGGCAGAAAAUGUGCGAAGAUUUUGUCACGGGUAACUGUUUUUAUUUCAUGUUGUCGCUGGCGAGGGACUCGACCCAGGCAUUGGCGUUGGGGGUCAGGAUGCCGAGUUUCCAGACAUCGGUCUUCGUAGUCGGUGAGGUAGUCCUUGAUUGAUAUUUCUUCAUGUCUAGUUGUUUAUAUGAUACUGAAUGAGCCCCUUCGCCCCAUUUUUGUAUUGAUAUCUGGCGUUGAGCUGCUUGGCCCUUCCAACAUAUACUAUGCAAGUAACAAAAUGGACCCUUAUUGAUGUGGUGCUGACAUCAUGUUAUAUUUCUUGUUGUAGGAAACUUUAUUGCUGUUGGGUCAAUGGAACAUGGGACCUUGAUAUUGUGGACGAAGUCCAGGCAUCUGCUACCUUAGGUGGUGUUGCUGAAAAGAAGAAAAAGGGGAAGAAGAUUAGAAAUAUAUUAAAUACAAGGAUGGCAGCCACAUAGAUUCAGUUCUUGGACUUGCCUGGAACAAGGAGUUUAGGUGUAAUAUUAAUCUUUUGCUAUCCACACUUGCAACACACGUUCGAUUCAAACUCGUGGAGGGUUAAUUGUCAAAGUAGGCAGUCGGGGGCACUACACAAAUCACAUUCUGCGAAUUGCACGAAUUACACUACUUACACGAAUCAAAGCCACUCUCUCUAGAACAACGUCCCAAGUUCUUUGCUGUGAAACUCCGCCUUGUUGGAUAUCGGAAGACUCGAGAUAUGGCUCAGUUGAAAGAGACUAACAAUGGGACAAGGACUGGGAGGUUUUCCAAAUCUCCAUCAACUGACCCCUAUGUGCUUGUUCUAGUCAUUGAUGACUUUAAGGUGGACUUCUGAUUCGAUGCACUAUUUGGAAACUUGGUUAACGAGCUGUUGCUAUGGCCAAUGGUCAUUUGAAUGCAGCAAAAGAAGCCCAAGUGCCAUGGAAUCUGUUUUUCCUGAAGUUGAUUUUCUAUUAUCUUUGUUUAAGAAUUCAUGUAUGCAGUUGUGUUAGUCUUAGGAAACAGAUUGAUCAGAAACUCUAGAAUGAUAAAACUGAAAUUUCUGCUCAAGACUCUAAGCAUCGGAAGACGCUUUCUGAGCUGGAAAAAUGUGUUGAUGGCUUGUUUGAUAGUUUUGCAAGGUUGGAUUCACGUAUAUAUAGUGUUGGCCAAACUGCUGCUAACGUAGGAGACCACCUGCAGGUAAAGAUGCUUAAAAAGGAACAUAAAAAGGCAGAAGAACAUGAAAAGGCAAAAGAUAGGGAUCCUAAUAAUCUCAUUUCCAGCACCAUCACAUCAUCAAUUCAGAGUUUUUCAGUGAUGUAAUUAACCGGGGAAGAAAUACCAUGUUUUUUUUAGUACAGGAAGAAAUGCAAUGUAAUUUGUUUUUGUUUUUUGAGGAAACCAUGUUAUUUUUUAUUUACGGAGAUGCCUGCCUGGUGGCAUUUGUUUCUUAUGUUUUGGGGGGCAGACCGGGAGGUGUCUAAAUAGGUUUUUCAGAUUUUUUUCAAUGUGGAGUAAAUUUGAUUUUGACCGUA